rnacentral:tRNA from 1 species
GGUUGUGGCUCAGUGGCAGAGCGCUUGCUUCACAAAUGUGAGGCAUUGGGUUCAAUCCUCAGCACCA